UACGUACCGUCCAAACGUUAUUCGGAAUUACUGGGCUUAAAGGGUAUGUAGGCGGCGCUGUUAGUCGGGUGUGAAAUCCCACGGCUCAACCGUGGAACUGCGCCCGAUACUGCAGUGCUUGAGGGAGACAGAGGUAAGCGGAACUGAUGGUGGAGCGGUGAAAUGCGUUGAUAUCAUCAGGAACACCGGUGGCGAAAGCGGCUUACUGGGUCUCUUCUGACGCUGAGAUACGAAAGCUAGGGGAGCGAAGGGG
rnacentral:rRNA from 2 species